ensembl:lncRNA novel transcript, antisense to FRG2Band SYCE1
GGCCGCGAUGCAUCGCGACUGGUUGUGAAGAGCCAGGGGAAGAACUUUACCGUGCAGGUGACAAUCAGUUGUCUGUGGGUGCCCACCAAACAUCUGAAGAUCCAUCAUGAGCCACACCAGGAAGAGAGGACCCUGGGAAGAGCCAGAGCUCCCUAUACAAGUGAUGGCAUGAAUGAACAUCUCAGAGACAAAGAAAAAGACUGUGAAUACUCGCCAGGUGGAUCUUCCAACAUGGGGCCAAGUCAAACUGGCACAGAUGGCAGAGGCCAACCUCAGAGCACAGAACAAACCAAAAACAACUAGUAACCCAACUGAUCACAAGACAAACAGCCUAGAUUCUGAACAUCAGCUCCUGUCUUCACACUGCGGACACCACCUGAAUCCCGUCAAAGCCCACAUUGUUUCUCAACAUCCACCAGCAAGACGUAUUCCAGGGCAGCCUCUCAAAACUGCCUCAGUGAGACGGGACAAGGUGUGGUGGAGCUCCAGGUUCAGAACAGCUGCCUCAUCCCUUCCUACUGCGGCGGAGUCUGUCUCUGC